rnacentral:misc_RNA from 1 species
UUUACAACUCCCAAACCCCUGUGAACAUACCACUUGUUGCCUCGGCGGAUCAGCCCGCUCCCGGUAAAACGGGACGGCCCGCCAGAGGACCCCUAAACUCUGUUUCUAUAUGUAACUUCUGAGUAAAACCAUAAAUAAAUCA